rnacentral:rRNA from 1 species
AUUGAACGCUGGCGGCAGGCCUAACACAUGCAAGUCGAGCGAGCGGCGGACGGGUGAGUAAUGUCUGGGAAACUGCCUGAUGGAGGGGGAUAACUACUGGAAACGGUAGCUAAUACCGCAUACCAUCAGAUGUGCCCAGAUGGGAUUAGCUAGUAGGUGGGGUAACGGCUUACCUAGGCGACGAUCCCUAGCUGGUCUGAGAGGAUGCCCAGCCACACUGGAACGGAGGCACGGUCCAGACUCCUACGGUAGGCAGCAGUGGGGAAUAUUGCACAAUGGGCGACAGCCUGAUGCAGCCCUGCCGCGUGUCUGAAGAAGGCCUUCGGGUUGUAAAGCACUUUCAGCGGUGAGGCGUUACCCGCAGAAGAAGCACCGGCUAACUCCGUGCCAGCCGCCGCGGUAAUUC